CAAGGCACUGAAAAUGCCAAGAUGAGUCGCACGACUCCAUAAACA
rnacentral:tRNA from 1 species